rnacentral:rRNA from 1 species
AGUGAACGCUGGCGGUAGGCCUAACACAUGCCAGUCGAACGGCAGCACAGUAAGAGCUUGCUCUUACGGGUGGCGAGUGGCGGACGGGUGAGGAAUACAUCGGAAUCUACUUUUUCGUGGGGGAUAACGUAGGGAAACUUACGCUAAUACCGCAUACGACCUACGGGUGAAAGCAGGGGAUCUUCGGACCUUGCGCGAUUGAAUGAGCCGAUGUCGGAUUAGCUAGUUGGCGGGGUAAAGGCCCACCAAGGCGACGAUCCGUAGCUGGUCUGAGAGGAUGAUCAGCCACAGUGGAACUGAGACACGGUCCAGACUCCUACGGGAGGCAGCAGUGGGGAAUAUUGGACAAUGGGCGCAAGCCUGAUCCAGCCAUACCGCGUGGGUGAAGAAGGCCUUCGGGUUGUAAAGCCCUUUUGUUGGGAAAGAAAAGCAGCAGGUUAAUACCCCGCUGUUCUGACGGUACCCAAAGAAUAAGCACCGGCUAACUUCGUG